rnacentral:rRNA from 1 species
GUAGGUGGCAAGCGUUGUCCGGAAUUAUUGGGCGUAAAGCGCGCGCAGGCGGUUCUUUAAGUCUGAUGUGAAAGCCCACGGCUCAACCGUGGAGGGUCAUUGGAAACUGGAGAACUUGAGUACAGAAGAGGAAAGCGGAAUUCCACGUGUAGCGGUGAAAUGCGUAGAGAUGUGGAGGAACACCAGUGGCGAAGGCGGCUCUCUGGUCUGUAACUGACGCUGAGGCGCGAAAGCGUGGGGAGCAAACAGGGAUUAGAUACCCUGGUAGUCCACGCCGUAAACGAUGAGUGCUAAGUGUUAGGGGGUUUCCGCCCCCUUAGUGCUGCAGCUAACGCAUUAAGCACUCCGCCUGGGGAGUACGGCCGCAAGGCUG